GGAUGGGUGUCCGAGUGGUUUAUGGUAGCGGUCUUGAAAACCGCCGUCCCGCGAGGGACCGUGGGUUCGAAUCCCACCCCAUCCGCCA
rnacentral:tRNA from 1 species